AUGCAUGUCUAAGUACAAACUUUUACAUAGUGAAACCGCGAAUGGCUCAUUAAAUCAGUUAUGGUUCCUUAGAUCGUACAAUCCUACUUGGAUAACUGUGGCAAUUCUAGAGCUAAUACAUGCAAAUCAGCUCCGACCUUCGGGGAAGAGCGCUUUUAUUAGAUCAAGACCAAUACGGGCUUCGGUCCGUUCCUUUGGUGACUCUGGAUAACUUUGUGCUGAUCGCAUGGCCUCGCGCCGGCGACGUAUCUUUCAAAUGUCUGCCCUAUCAACUGUCGAUGGUACGUGCUAUGCCUACCAUGGUUUUUACGGGUAACGGAGAAUCAGGGUUCGAUUCCGGAGAGGGAGCAUGAGAAACGGCUACCACA
rnacentral:rRNA from 2 species